UACGUAGGGGGCUAGCGUUGUCCGGAAUUAUUGGGCGUAAAGGGCGCGUAGGCGGCGCGGUAAGUCGGGUGUGAAAUCUCGGAGCUUAACUCCGGAACUGCAUUCGAUACUGCCGUGCUUGAGGACUGGAGGGGAGACUGGAAUUUACGGUGUAGCGGUGAAAUGCGUAGAUAUCGGAAGGAACACCAGUGGCGAAGGCGGGUCUCUGGACAGUUCCUGACGCUGAGGCACGAAAGUCAGGGGAGCAAACGGG
rnacentral:rRNA from 1 species